CCCUUAGAUGUUCUGGGCCGCACGCGCGCUACACUGUUCGACGCAGCGAGUCUUAACCUUGACCGAAAGGUUUGGGUAAUCUUCAGCAAAGUCGAACGUGAUGGGGAUCGAUCAUUGCAAUUAUUGAUCGUGAACGAGGAAUUCCUAGUAAGUGCAAGUCAUCAGCUUGCGCUGAUUACGUCCCUGCCCUUUGUACACACCGCCCGUCGCUACUACCGAUUGAAUGGUUUAGUGAGAUCUCUGGAUUGACGCUGGCUAGGGGGCGACCCUUGGCCAGGCUGUCGAGAAACUGCUCAAACUUGAUCAUUUAGAGGAAGUAAAAGUCGCAACA
rnacentral:rRNA from 1 species